rnacentral:rRNA from 1 species
GUCUGCGACCAUACCACAUUGAAAGCACCGGUUCUCGUCCGAUCACCGCAGUUAAGCAAUGCUGGGCCCGGUCAGUACUUGUAGGGGGCUGGCUGGCGGGGAAUCCCGGGUGUCGCCGGCU